GGGAUUGUGGCUCAGUGGUAGAGUGCUUACCUUGCAUGUGUGAGGCACUGGGUUCAAUUCUCAGCAUCACA
rnacentral:tRNA from 1 species